GAGGUGGUGUAGUGGUAUUAGCACGCGUCCCCAGCAUGGAUGAAACGCGGGUUCGAUUCCCCACUGAAGCC